AUACGUAGGGGGCAAGCGUUGUCCGGAAUUAUUGGGCGUAAAGCGCGCGCAGGCGGUCCUUUAAGUCUGAUGUGAAAGCCCACGGCUCAACCGUGGAGUGCCAUUGGAAACUGGGGGACUUGAGUGCAGAAGAGGAGAGUGGAAUUCCUGGUGUAGCGGUGAAAUGCGUAGAGAUCAGGAGGAACACCAAUGGCGAAGGCAGCUCUCUGGUCUGUAACUGACGCUGAGGCGCGAAAGCGUGGGUAGCAAACAGGAUUAGAUACCCUGGUAGUCCACGCCGUAAACGAUGAGUGCUAGGUGUUAGGGGGUCCAACCCUUAGUGCCGAAGUUAACACAUUAAGCACUCCGCCUGGGGAGUACGGUCGCAAGACUGAA
rnacentral:rRNA from 1 species